rnacentral:rRNA from 1 species
AUGUCGCUGCAAGGGGCCGGAAAUUCACAACAUAAUCACGUCGAAGAGGUUAUAUCUCAUAAUAAACCAAAAAAGGAUGCUAAUUUACAUGUUAUUCCACAAGACUAUGUUUGUACCUCUAGAGAUAUUACAGUCAUCGAAUCAAUCAAGUCUGCCCCUAAGAAUACCCAGUUUGUGGACAUUGGAGAUGCCUUGUUAGCAACUGACGAUUUGGAAUGCCUUAUUAAAAAUGACAUGUUCUUACAUGACGGUGUGAUAAAUGCUUACAUAUAUUGCAUGCUUGCUCACGAGCAUUUACAAGACAGGGCGAGUGAAAAGUUAUUCAUUCCGAUUAACAUGCCGGGCUACCAUUGGUAUCUAGCAGUUGCCAACGCCAAAAAACGAGAGAUCCAAGUAUUGGACUCACUUGGUGAGAAUGUCAAACGCAAUGACCUUGCUACUACGGAGGAUAUGAAACAUUUUCAACAAAAAUUAGCAAUUAUUUUGCUCGAUUCAGAGCUUAAUAAGUUAAAAGGAUGUCCCAUGUACCAUCAGCCUCUCAACAAAGAAACUUUAGCUAAUUCUGAUCUUGAGAUCCUGGAUAAUCCAUCUGACGUAGUCCAAGAGAAACGUCCCACCCCAAACACUAUCAUUCCCACGGACCAACGUGAAAUACUUGCCGGCCUCUGCAACUACAUCAUGUCGAACAAUGAUGCUGGAUGUUUGGAGAAGGUAUGGGUCCGGAGCUCCACACCCGAUCCAAUGAGCUUAAGUCUUAAGAAACUUCAGUGCAUACUUAACAUGGAGCAGCCCAUGGACAAUGAUUGCUUCAACACCGCCGUGCAUAUGCUGGCAUGUGACGAGGGAGUAUUGUUCACAGACCCUCCUAUACACUACAUGGAUCUACGAUUUUGUUCCAUGCUGCUAGAGUCAACACGAGGUCAGAAGUUUUGUGAGAAGGAAACUAUCCAGACGUUGGCAACAUUAUUUGAUAGCUGGCCUGGGAUGGAGACCGACAUCUCAUCUUGCAAUAAGGAUGGAUGUUAA